rnacentral:rRNA from 1 species
AGCAUAUCAAUAAGCGGAGGAAAAGAAACCAACAGGGAUUGCCCUAGUAACGGCGAGUGAAGCGGCAACAGCUCAAAUUUGAAAUCUGGCUCUUUCAGAGUCCGAGUUGUAAUUUGCAGAGGGCGCUUUGGCUUUGGCAGCGGUCCAAGUUCCUUGGAACAGGACGUCACAGAGGGUGAGAAUCCCGUACGUGGUCGCUAGCUAUUGCCGUGUAAAGCCCCUUCGACGAGUCGAGUUGUUUGGGAAUGCAGCUCUAAAUGGGAGGUAAAUUUCUUCUAAAGCUAAAUAUUGGCCAGAGACCGAUAGCGCACAAGUAGAGUGAUCGAAAGAUGAAAAGCACUUUGGAAAGAGAGUCAAACAGCACGUGAAAUUGUUGAAAGGGAAGCGCUUGCAGCCAGACUUGCUUGCAGUUGCUCAUCCGGGCUUUUGCCCGGUGCACUCUUCUGCAGGCAGGCCAGCAUCAGUUUGGGCGGUGGGAUAAAGGUCUCUGUCACGUACCUCUCUUCGGGGAGGCCUUAUAGGGGAGACGACAUACCACCAGCCUGGACUGAGGUCCGCGCAUCUGCUAGGAUGCUGGCGUAAUGGCUGUAAGCGGCCCGUCUUGAAACACGGACCAAGGAGUCUAACAUCUAUGCGAGUGUUUGGGUGUCAAGCCCGAGCGCGUAAUGAAAGUGAACGGAGGUGGGAACCCGCAAGGGCGCACCAUCGACCGAUCCUGAAGUUUACGGAAGGAUUUGAGUAAGAGCAUGGCUGUUGGGACCCGAAAGAUGGUGAACUAUGCUUGAAUAGGGUGAAGCCAGAGGAAACUCUGGUGGAGGCUCGCAGCGGUUCUGACGUGCAAAUCGAUCGUCAAAUUUGGGCAUAGGGGCGAAAGACUAAUCGAACUAUCUAGUAGCUGGUUCCUGCC